rnacentral:rRNA from 1 species
CCUACGGGUGGCAGCAGUGGGGAAUAUUGCACAAUGGGGGAAACCCUGAUGCAGCAACGCCGCGUGAGUGAAGAAGUAUUUCGGUAUGUAAAGCUCUAUCAGCAGGGAAGAAGAAAGACGGUCCCGGACUAAGAAGCCCCGGCGAACUACGUGCAAGCAGCCGCGGUAAUACGUAGGGAGCGAGGGUUGUCCGGAAUUACUGGGUGUAAAGGGAGUGUAGGCGGGGAUGCAAGUUGGGGGGCAAAGCUACCGGCUAAACUGGGAGUCGCACUCAAAACUGCAGCUCUUGAGUGGAGGAGAGGCAGGCGGAAUUCCUGGUGUAGCGGUGAAAUGCGUAGAUAUUAGGAGGAACACCGGUGGCGAAGGCGGCCUGCUGG